AGUCUGAUCAGCCAUGUACUACACAAAGUGAAGGAAGACAAAGUAGAAGAGGUUUGCAGGUGUCCACUUCCACAGUGGCAAGGUGGAUAAGGGAAGUGAUGAUGGCGGCUGGAAUUAACCGUCAGUUUAAACCUCAUUCGGUUAGAGGAGCUUCCGUGUCGGCAGCAUAUACAGCUGGGACAUCUCUGAGGGAUAUACUGGAAACGGCAAACUGGGCAUCAGCAGAGACCUUCAGAAGGUUCUACCUGAGAGACAUUGAUGACACGGGUUCAUUUUCGACCAGUGUGCUACAGACAGGACAGUGAUAGGAUGCCAGUGAUAUAUAGACUUUGUGAAAUUUUGUGUAAUUUUGAAAUACUAAUGAAUGAUUGAACUUGA
rnacentral:misc_RNA from 1 species